GCUUGCGUAGCUCAGUUGGUAGAGCAACUUCCUUGGUAAGGAAGAGGUCACCGGUUCAAUCCCGGUCGCAAGCU
rnacentral:tRNA from 1 species